GAUGAACGCUGGCGGCGUGCUUAACACAUGCAAGUCGAACGAUGAAGCCCAGCUUGCUGGGUGGAUUAGUGGCGAACGGGUGAGUAACACGUGAGUAACCUGCCCUUGACUCUGGGAUAAGCCUGGGAAACUGGGUCUAAUACUGGAUAUGACUUCUCAUCGCAUGGUGGGGGGUGGAAAGAUUUAUUGGUCUUGGAUGGACUCGCGGCCUAUCAGCUUGUUGGUGAGGUAAUGGCUCACCAAGGCGACGACGGGUAGCCGGCCUGAGAGGGUGACCGGCCACACUGGGACUGAGACACGGCCCAGACUCCUACGGGAGGCAGCAGUGGGGAAUAUUGCACAAUGGGCGCAAGCCUGAUGCAGCGACGCCGCGUGAGGGAUGACGGCCUUCGGGUUGUAAACCUCUUUCAGUAGGGAAGAAGCGAGAGUGACGGGACCUGCAGAAGAAGCGCCGGCUAACUACGU
rnacentral:rRNA from 1 species